rnacentral:lncRNA from 1 species
GUUUUCUUUUUCUUUUUUAUACUUCCCUAUUCAUAGGUCAUGUUGCCACAGUUGCUAUAUAUCAGGCAUUGUGCCAAGCUCAGCCACUAUCACCCACUAGUGACACCCUUCAUGUGGGUGUGGCUUACCCAUUCCACCAAGGUAACUUUCUAGUCUUGAAAAUAAUAAUCAUAUAUUACUUACAAAUGAGGUAGUUCUAAUAACUAAAGUGUGACUACUGCUUGUUAAUGAAGUAUAAAGAUUCAUCUUUGGGCUUUGAGUAUAUCCAGAAACUAAUAGUACCUUUGUCCCAAGAGUCUCUAAUUCAUGACUGAAUAUUGAAAAAAAAAAAAAAAAAGGGCUCGUGCAAGCAUUGUGAUGGAUGGGUGGGUGAUGGCAGGGAAGCCUGUUACUUGUUUUGAUGCAGUGCCGUUUGUAUAAGACUGGUGUUUUAUGUCAGCCUCAUGGAAGCUAUUCUCAUUGAGAGGAGGGAGCCUCAAUUGAGAAAAUGCCUGCAUAAGAUCCAGCUGUAGGACAUUUUCCUUAAUUAGUGAUCGAUGGGGAGGGCACAGCCCAUUGUGGGUGGUGUCAUCCCUGGGCUGCUGGUCCUGGGUGCUAUAAGAAAGCAGGCUGAGCAAGCCAGUGAGCAGUGACCCUCUGUGGCCUCUGCAUCAGCACCUGCCUCCAGGUCCCUGCCCUCCUUAAGUGCCUGUCUUGACAUUGAUGAAGAACAAUGCCUGGAAGCAUAAACCCAAUAAACUCUUCCCUCCCUUGCUGCUGGUUAUGGUGUUUCAUCACAACGGUAGAAAAGGUUUUCAAGGAAAACAAGUGUGGAUGCUGGGUUAUUAUUUUCUUUUGAGUUUCAGGUAAGAACUGCAGUUGUAUUGGAAGGCUGUGGUUACUAGAUGGCUUCUAGAGGACUGCCUACUAGAUGCCUACGAGAUAGCUCCACCCCUUGUGGUGUGGUACAUCUUGUCUACCUCUGAUAGGUGCACUUUCUAGUCAUUGUCGGGAAAUGGAUUGAACAGGAGGAGCCUUUGGACUGUGACGUGGAACCUGAGCUUCAUGUGACUGAGCGCUUUGGUAUUUUUAAAGACCACAUCUACCUGUGUAGGAAAUGCAGGCGAGGAAAUGGGAGUUUCCUCAGGUGGAGUCACUUGAGCAAAGUCACAGAACUGUGUGAGAGGUCUCAGAGGUGGGACUUAAGGGGGACACAGAGGCAAAUUGCUGAGGGUGUGGCGUUUACUAGGGGAAUCAUUAAUGCCAUGAGCGGACACACAGGUAGUCCGUAGCGUGGAGGGGCUCUGAACACUGGAGCAUCAGGAGCUCUGAAGAGAGGAUGGCAGAGCCCACAUGGUGUGAUGAAAGCCAGCAGCCCCGCUCUCUGACACCCAGACAGAAGGCAGGGAGUGCGGUGGGAAGCUGGAUGUGUGGCUACUAAUACCUGCUUGGAUGUGAACUCACAUCCCCAGGCAAGAAACCCUGGGACCGAGAAGUCCCUUAGCCAGAGACUCACAGGUGUUUCUCAGUGGGUGCCUCUCAGCAUCUGAGGGGGCAGGGGGUGCUGCAGAUGGCAGCAGCUGGAUUCUAACAUUACAUUCUCAGACCAAGGAGGUCUCUGAACCCCACCCAUGUUGCUGGGAGUUGUUAAUUUGUUUACGGAAUCUUUUUGUUUGUUUGUUUGUUUGUUUGUUUGUUUUGUUUUGUUUUUUCGAGACAGGGUUUCUCUGUAUAGCCCUGGCUGUCCUGGAACUCACUCUGUAGACCAGGCUGGCCUCGAACUCAGAAAUCCGGCCUGCCUCUGGAUUAAAGGCAUGCGCCACCACACCCGGCUUAAAGAAACUUUUUAUUUAAACAAAAAGGUUUUUCUUUGCUUACCAGCUAGCAUAAACUUCGAGAUACAUCAUUUGAAAGAAAAGCAGAUACCAUCGAGUUACUGUGUGUGACAUUUUUUGAUAUCAGAUUCCUGAGAAUGUAGCAUCUGGGGUGUCUUCGGAAAAGAUUUAAUCUUUAACUAAGUGCUUGAGUAGCAGUGGUCUCCAGUUUUAGACUCCACAGUUUAAUUCAAAACUGUCCAGAAGUUUUGAAAUGCUUUGCUCGAUUAGUAAAUUUGUAAUAAAUAUAGAUUUCGUAAACAUACCAGAAAUAUAAUUUUAAAACAAAUCUGUGUAGGAAAAAAAAUAGUGACUUUUUAUUAUUGCCAGCUUAUUCCACCCUCCAUAUUUAAGUGCUCAUGGAAGGAAGGGCGAAGCAUGACAGAAAGCAUUUAAUGACCUAAAAACCUGCCUGGCACUUAGGUGAAGGGGAUUAGAAAGGUGAGCAUCCACUUCCCAUGAUGAAAGCCCAGCAGUUGUUUAAAUAGAGCCCGGGCAGGAGGUAGGGUGGCUUAUCUUUUCCUGACCUUGACCUUGGCCCAAGGUUGCAGCCUGAGCAGCUCCUUCUGUCGAAAGGAGAUAACCGAAGUCCAGGCUGGAUCUGGCCCUUCUGCCUUUCUGAGUUUUCUGUAAUCUUGUCCCUUAUUCAUAUCUUGGAAACCGUUUCCUUUUGCUACACCAAAGAUGAGAAGCUGCUAUUAGACUGUAGAAUAUAAGGUCCACCUGUUGUCUAGCUCUCUGAGACAUUAGAGCUCUUUCUUUGUAGCUACUUACAUUGUAAAGCAGAAAAUGUCAGUCCUGCAGAACUAUUGUGACUGGGUUACUCCCUGGUAGGCUUAAGUGUUUCAAGGGUUCUGGUUUUCCUUGGUAAAUUGGAGGAGGCCUGAGGAAUGAUUGACUGAAAAUACUGUCAAAGACAGAAACAUGUUUUCUUUUUGUCUUAGUUAGGGUUUAACUGCUGUGAACAGACACCGAGACCAAGGCAACUCUUAUAAAGGACAACAUUUAAUUGGGGCUGGUUUACAGGUUCAGAGGUUCAGUCCAUUAUCAUCAAAGUGGGAACAUGGCAGCAUCCAGGCAGGCAUGGUACAGGAGGAGCUGAGAGUUCUACAUCUUUAUCUGAAGGUUGCUAGCAGAAUACUGGCUUGUAGGAAGCUAGGAUGAGGGUCUUAAAGCCCACACCCACUGUGACACACCUACUCCAACAAGACCACACGUACUCCAACAGGGCCACACUUUUCUAAUAGUGUCACUACCUGGGCCAAGCAUAUACAGAUUGUCACACUUUUAUUUCUUCCUUUUUUUUUUUUCUCUUUCUUCUUUUUCAAAAUUUCAAGUGAUCCACAUGAUGGUUUUUUAAAACCAGUCUCUAGUUUCUGUGAUCUAUAAAUUUGACAUCCUCUAGUCAUACGAACAUGUACACACAUCAAC